CAUUAAUUUCAUAAAUGGAUGACAAAAUGAUUUCACUGAUAGUCUGUAGUGGGUACCUUACCACUUAUCUUUGAUUCAGUGAAAUCAUUUUGUCAUCCAUUUAUGAAAUUUAGUAUC